rnacentral:tRNA from 1 species
ACUUAAGUAGUUUAUUGUAAAAUAAUAAUUUGUGGUAUUGUAGAAGCGAGGUCGUCUUAAGUU